GCCCGCUCAGAAACUCAAUGAAUUGACGGGGGCCGCACAAGCGGUGGAGUAUGUGGUUUAAUUCGAUGCAACGCGAAGAACCUUACCUGGUCUUGACAUCCCGGAGACCCUUAGGAAACUAGGGGGUGCUUCCAUCUGGAAGAAUCUGGAGACAGGUGCUGCAUGGCUGUCGUCAGCUCGUGUCGUGAGAUGUUGGGUUAAGUCCCGCAACGAGCGCAACCCUUGCCUUUAGUUGCCAGCAGUUCGGCUGGGCACUCUAAAGGGACUGCCGGUAUUAAACCGGAGGAAGGUGGGGAUGACGUCAAGUCCUCAUGGCCUUUAUGACCAGGGCUACACACGUACUACAAUGGCCGAUACAAAGGGCAGCGACACUGCGAGGUGAAGCCAAUCCCGUAAAAUCGGUCUCAGUCCGGAUUGGAGUCUGCAACUCGACUCCAUGAAGUUGGAAUCGCUAGUAAUCGUGGAUCAGCAUGCCACGGUGAAUACGUUCCCGGGCCUU
rnacentral:rRNA from 1 species